AGGCACAACUCAGUGAAAUCACUGAUUGUGACCAUCUCGUGGUGGGUCUCCUCUUGGCUCUUUAUUAAAGCAGCCAGAGAAUCCCUCUGUGUCUUCAGCAGUUUGUGUUCUGCUUCCAACUGCUGCCAGGUCUCGUUGUUGACCGUGAGUUCAGCACUUUUGACAGAAAGUUCUUUUGUGGUCUCGGUGAGCUUCAGAGAUAAACCCUCGUUCUCCCUGAUAGUCUCAUCCAGAGCCUCUGUCUUGAUCUUCAGCAGUUUGUGUUCUGCUUCCAACUGUUGGUUGUUGGCCUGCUGCUUGUGCAGCUUCUCUUGAAGAGAAAUGUUGGUGGAGAGUAACCCUGUUACUUUAGACUCCAAUGACUGUUGUUGGUCAUCCAGUUUCUUGGUUGUCUUUUUCUCCAGAUCUUCAUAUUUCUGCUGCCAGGUCUGGUUGUUGACCGUGAGUUCAGCACUUUUGACAGAAAGUUGUUUUGUGGUCUCUGUGAGCUUCAGAGAUAAACCCUCGUUCUCCCUGAUAGUCUCAUCCAGAGCCUCUGUCUUGAUCUUCAGCAGUUUGUGUUCUGCUUCCAACUGUUGGUUGUUGGCCUGCUGCUUGUGCAGCUUCUCUUGAAGAGAAAUGUUGGUGGAGAGUAACCCUGUUACUUUAGACUCCAAUGACUGUUGUUGGUCAUCCAGUUUCUUGGUUGUCUUUUUCUCCAGAUCUUCAUAUUUCUGCUGCCAGGUCUCGUUGUUGACCGUGAGUUCAGCACUUUUGACAGAAAGUUGUUUUGUGGUCUCGGUGAGCUUCAGAGAUAAACCCUCGUUCUCCCUGAUA
ensembl:lncRNA